GCCAGCAUAGUGUGGUGGUUUGAACAUUGGAGUACAACUCUGAAGACCAGGGUUCGAAUCCCAGCUCGGCCA